GCCCUUUUCUGUCCUGACUGGGACAGAUGAAAUGAAAAUGGAAAUAAUAGGAAUGGAACAUGCAGACUUACCUGUCACGGUGACAAAAAAACUUUCUCUGCAUGAGUGGUGUGCGUCACAUGGAUGGUAGUCAUAGGCUGCAGCUUUGGGGACUCCCUAGUGCACUGGCCUUCUACUUCCCCUGAUUUGGCCAUGCGAUGUGUCGUUCUGGGUCAGAGGAUGCGACAGCCUUCAUCCUCAAAUUAACCUUGAGGAGCCUGUGCUAUCUGCAUUUUAUGAGGAAAAUCACCAGGGAGAUUGAAGCUGGGAAUAUACUUUGUGACAAGGGAGGUCAUGCGAAACUGGCUAAAUCUGGUCUGGCUGGCCAUUUGACGGUGAGUUUGAUUCCUCUG